AUCGGAUUACUGGGCGUAAAGCGUGCGCAGGCGGAUUGUUAAGCAAGACGUGAAAGCCCCGGGCUUAACCUGGGAAUGGCGUUUUGAACUGGCAGUCUAGAGUGCGUCAGAGGGGGGUGGAAUUCCACGUGUAGCAGUGAAAUGCGUAGAGAUGUGGAGGAACACCAAUGGCGAAGGCAGCCCCCUGGGAUGACACUGACGCUCAUGUACGAAAGCGUGGGUAGCAAACAGGAUUAGAUACCCUGGUAGUCCACGCCCUAAACGAUGUCAACCGGUUGUUGGGGGAGUGAAAUCCCUUAGUAACGAAGCUAACGCGUGAAGUUGACCGCCUGGGGAGUACGGUCGCAAGAUUAAAACUCAAAGGAAUUGACGGGGACCCGCACAAGCGGUGGAUGAUGUGGAUUAAUUCGAUGCAACGCGAAAAACCUUACCUACCCUUGACAUGUCCAGGAUCCUGCAGAGAUGCGGGAGUGCCCGAAAGGGAAUUGGAACACAGGUGCUGCAUGGCUGUCGUCAGCUCGUGUCGUGAGAUGUUGGGUUAAGUCCCGCAACGAGCGCAACCCUUAUCAUUAGUUGCUGCGCAAGGGCACUCUAAUGAGACUGCCGGUGACAAACCGGAGGAAGGUGGGGAUGACGUCAAGUCCUCAUGGCCCUUAUGGGUAGGGCUUCACACGUCAUACAAUGGUCGGUACAGAGGGUUGCCAAGCCGCGAGGUGGAGCCAAUCCCAGAAAGCCGAUCGUAGUCCGGAUUGUUCUCUGCAACUCGAGAGCAUGAAAGU
rnacentral:rRNA from 1 species